UAGGGAAUCUUCGGCAAUGGACGAAAGUCUGACCGAGCAACGCCGCGUGAGUGAAGAAGGUUUUCGGAUCGUAAAACUCUGUUGUUAGAGAAGAACAAGGACGUUAGUAACUGAACGUCCCCUGACGGUAUCUAACCAGAAAGCCACGGCUAACUACGUGCCAGCAGCCGCGGUAAUACGUAGGUGGCAAGCGUUGUCCGGAUUUAUUGGGCGUAAAGCGAGCGCAGGCGGUUUCUUAAGUCUGAUGUGAAAGCCCCCGGCUCAACCGGGGAGGGUCAUUGGAAACUGGGAGGCUUGAGUGCAGAAGAGGAGAGUGGAAUUCCAUGUGUAGCGGUGAAAUGCGUAGAUAUAUGGAGGAACAGCAGUGGAGAAGGCGGCUCGCUGGUCUGUAUCUGACGCUGAGGCUCGAAAGCGUGGGGAGCAAACAGG
rnacentral:rRNA from 1 species